rnacentral:rRNA from 1 species
AUUGAACGCUGGCGGCAGGCCUAACACAUGCAAGUCGAGCGGAGCGGCGGACGGGUGAGUAAUGCCUAGGAAUCUGCCUGGUAGUGGGGGAUAACGUCCGGAAAUGGGCGCUAAUACCGCAUACUAUCAGAUUAGCCUAGGUCGGAUUAGCUAGUUGGGGGGGAAAAGGCCUACCAAGGCGACGAUCCGGAUCUGGUCUGAGAGGAUGAUCAGUCACACUGGAACUGAGACACGGUCCAGACUCCUACGGGAGGCAGCAGUGGGGAAUAUUGGACAAUGGGCGAAAGCCUUAUGCAGCCAUGCCGCGUGUAUGAAGAAGGUCUUCGGGUUGUAAAGUACUUUCAGUUGGGAGGCGUUACCAACAGAAGAAGCACCGGCUAACUCCGUGCCAGCAGCCGCGGUAAUAC